GCACCCCCCACUCCUUAUAGCUAUCGUGGCCUCGCUACUGACUGUUCGCCUUAGGAUGGCCUGCAACAAAACAUCGGGGAUCGGCGAGGCUCCGCAGACGAAACCGAUGUGCCAGGACAGGUAGGAUUACCAACGUGGAGAACACCCACACCUGAGAUGUCUCAUGCCGGGCUCUAGACAACGGAUGGUUGGUAACCAUUUCCAGACCCAAUGUUGUCGGCGUGUUGCUGUUCUUGAUGCCGCGAAAUGUAACCAUCAACCGGAACUCCCUGUCAAGAUGGAUGUGCGACAGACCACCGGCUCAUGAAGAUUGCUGUGUCAUAUCUCUACCUGACCACGUACGUGUCCCUCGACUCAGCCACUUUAUGCAAGCAUCAUCUCGUCUUCCAUUUCUCAGCCUUCUGGACGGUUGCCAGACCUCUAGUUGGACACAGUUGAGGACAAACGGACACACACAAACUGGACUGUCUUCGUAUGGUAGGCGUCUUACACAGCUCCUGGCCAGAUAUCACAAAAGGAAUCACCGUCGGCACAGGCUUCCAUACAAUUUCGGCUUCACCGUGCACUACAAGGUAGAUGUCUCAACCAUUAACACCGUUCCCAGUCCGAUGGCCUGAUGGUAGCUGGGGAAAGUCUCGCACCUUGCUGAUUUUCCGCAACAAAAUAUCGCACUGGCCCCCUUUAUAGCUAGGAUGGCCAGUGCUAUUCUUCAAAUCACAGGAAUCACUUUCUAUACAGCAAAAGAAAUGACAAAAUCUCAAAUCUACUACACAUUUUUAGACACUAAGUUCACUCACAUUCAAAUCUUAUCACACAAUACACAAAAAAAAUUAAAAUUAA